AGGAGGUUGGCUUAGAAGCAGCCAUCCUUGAAAGAGUGCGUAAUAGCUCACUGGUCGAGUGGUUCUGCGCCGACAAUGUAGUGGGGCUCAAGUACACCGCCGAAGCCGCGGCAAUCACCUUUUGGUGGUUGGGUAGGGGAGCGUCGCGUGACUGCUGUGAAGCGCUGGGGUAACCCUAGUGUGGAGUGUGCGCGAGUGAGAAUGCAGGCAUGAGUAGCGAAUGAGGAGUGGAAAACUCCUCCGCCGAAUGACUAAGGGUUCCUGGGCCAGGUUAAUCCUCCCAGGGUGAGUCGGGACCUAAGGCGAGGCCGACAGGCGUAGUCGAUGGAUAACGGGUUGAUAUUCCCGUACCCGUGUGUCCGCGCCCAUGGUGAAUCAGGGAUACUAACCCACCUGAACACGCGCCGUUUACUAGCCUUUUAGGUUGGUUGGUGUGUGUGAUGCUGGGGACCUGAACUGGUAGUAGCCAAGUGAUGGGGUGACGCAGGAAGGUAGCCGUGCCACGUGAUGGAUAUCGUGGUGUAAGCGUGUGGCCCGUGUUCUAGGUAAAUCCGGAGCACAUAUAGGGUGAGGCGUGAUGCGUACCCGUAUUUGGGGAAGUUGGUGAUCCUAUGCUGCCGAGAAAAGCCUCUAGCGAUGUGGAUAUACGGCCCGUACCCGAAACCGACACAGGUAGUCAGGUAGAGAAUACUAAGGCGAUCGGGAGAACUGUGGUUAAGGAACUCGGCAAAAUGCCCCCGUAACUUCGGGAGAAGGGGGGCCAUGACUGGUGACCGACGUGGUUGAGCUGGUUGUGGCCGCAGAGAAUAGAGGGAAGCGACUGUUUACUAAAAACACAGGUCCGUGCGAAGACGGGUAAGUCGAUGUAUACGGACUGACGCCUGCCCGGUGCUGGAAGGUUAAGAGGACCUGUUAGACCCUUUGUGGGUCGAAGCGGAGAAUUUAAGCCCCAGUAAACGGCGGUGGUAACUAUAACCAUCCUAAGGUAGCGAAAUUCCUUGUCGGGUAAGUUCCGACCUGCACGAAUGGCGUAACGACUUCCCUGCUGUCUCAACCACAGACCCGGCGAAAUUGCAGUACGAGUAAAGAUGCUCGUUACGCGCGGCAGGACGAAAAGACCCCGGGACCUUCACUAUAGCUUGGUAUUGGUGUUCGGUUCGGUUUGUGUAGGAUAGGUGGGAGACUGUGAUGCCUCAACGCCAGUUGGGGUGGAGUCGUUGUUGAAAUACCACUCUGAUCGUAUUGGACAUCUCAACCUCGGCCCGUGAUCCGGGUUAGGGACAGUGCCUGGUGGGUAGUUUAACUGGGGCGGUUGCCUCCCAAAGAGUAACGGAGGCGCCCAAAGGUUCCCUCAGCCUGGUUGGCAAUCAGGUGUUGAGUGUAAGUGCACAAGGGAGCUUGACUGUGAGACUGACAGGUCGAGCAGGUAGGAAACUAGGGACUAGUGAUCCGGCACCGGCUUGUGGAAGCGGUGUCGCUCAACGGAUAAAAGGUACCCCGGGGAUAACAGGCUGAUCUUCCCCAAGAGUCCAUAUCGACGGGAUGGUUUGGCACCUCGAUGUCGGCUCGUCGCAUCCUGGGGCUGGAGUAGGUCCCAAGGGUUGGGCUGUUCGCCCAUUAAAGCGGCACGCGAGCUGGGUUUAGAACGUCGUGAGACAGUUCGGUCUCUAUCCGCCGCGCGCGUAGAAACUUGAGGAAGGCUGUCCCUAGUACGAGAGGACCGGGAUGGACGUACCUCUGGUGUGCCAGUUGUCCCGCCUGGGGCAUGGCUGGUUGGCUACGUACGGAAGGGAUAACCGCUGAAAGCAUCUAAGCGGGAAGCCUGUUCCAAGAUUAGGUUUCUUUUGAGGUCCCCUAUAGAUGAUGGGGUUGAUAGGCCGGAUCUGGAAGCAUCGUAAGGUGUGGAGGUGACCGGUACUAAUAGACCAAACAUUCAACACA
rnacentral:rRNA from 1 species